rnacentral:rRNA from 1 species
GCUUAMAACCMAAGGRMKKGGMGGUACUUUAGAUCCCCCUAGAGGAGYYUGUUCUAUAACCGAUGACCCCCGUUCAACCUCACCCUCCCUUGUCUCUCCCGCCUAUAUACCGCCGUCGUCAGCUUACCCUGUGAGGGUUUAAUAGUAAGCAAAAUUGGUACCACCCAGAACGUCAGGUCGAGGUGUAGCGUAUGAGAGGGGAAGAAAUGGGCUACAUUCGCUAAAGUAGCGAAUACGAACGAUGCACUGAAAACGUUCAUCCGAAGGAGGAUUUAGCAGUAAGUGGAAAAUAGAGCAUUCCACUGAAAUCGGCUCUGAAGUGCGUACACACCGCCCGUCACCCUCYAAMA